rnacentral:lncRNA from 1 species
UAUGUACAUGAUGUACAUGUACAUGAUGUAUAUCUUGCUUAAUGCUCAUGUGAUUAAAAUAUAGAAUUGACAUGAUACACAAGUUUAAAUCACUCUUGCUUGAGUUGAUUGAAUAACUGUGAAGCUUAUUGAAUUAAGAUUUGAGUGAUAAACAUGUAUCAUGAUCCUGUUAAAUGUACAUUUGAGAGGUAUUUCAAAAUGAAUUACCCUAAGCAUUAGCAUAAACAAUAAAAAAUACCCCCUCGAAUGAGAUUAACUAUAUUUUCUUCUCUGUACUCUACCUACAUGUAUUUAUUAUAUAAGGCACUUGAAGUUCUGAACUAUGAUACCAAAUUGUAUUUAAAAAUCAGCUACUUUUGAGUCACUGUGACAGACAUUGAAUUUAGAGUGAUUGACUACAUUUGGCUCUUGGUUCAUGACUCUGAAACUGAUGAAUGGUUAUAUAUAUUUCAUUAGUACUUAUUACUAAUUUUAUUUCAACUGAUCGGGCGGAGCUUAUAGUUUAAUUUGCAUAAAGACAGUCUAUUUCAAGAUGUGGUUAAGAAGGAUGAUUACCGUUAGGCCAGAAAAAAAUAUAUGUGUGGUUCCAGUAACCCUACCGUCCCUACUUUUUCAGCUUAAAAAUAGCCUACCCUAA